UUCCAUGUGACUUGGCCUGUUCACUCUGUUAUAAAAGGAUCACAUCUGAGUCACAUAUGAGCAAAAAAAUCGGAUUUGGGUCACAUUGGCCUGCAGUCUGAACAUAGCAGUUUAACUGUCAGCCACUUCUGAUGACUUAAAACCACUACACCCAGAAAUUCCAUCAUGACAAAAUAUCAGUACUGUUCAUUGGUGAACAGAAAUAAAAAUGCAGCAAAAAUUUUUUUUCACAAGAUCAGCUGCCAGCACAGCAAGAAGGUGGGGAGAGGAGGUGUGAUAGACUAUAUAGAGAAGGGAAGAAAGCAAUCUAUCAUUCAAUCUGUAAAGAAUUUGUCAGACUGGAGCACCAAGUAAAUGCUCCACUUCUGAUGCCUCAGAUUUCAGUAUGCUGUAAUUGUAAAUUUGAUGUGGAAACAAUUGUACAUGUAUUUUUGUUAUUGAUUUAAGUUUACUUUCCAGGAUGCCUCCAGUUUUACACACAUUUGGAUUUUUACUGCUUGUGCUUUCAAGCAAAGUGGAGAGUGUUACCUUUAAACAGUCCUCUUCUCAAGUUGUGAAUGAAGGGACUGAGAAACUCAGGAUUACCUGCAGUCAUGAUGACAGCAGUCUCCAAACUAUGCUGUGGUACCAACACAAACAGAGCAGCCGGUCUAUGAGCCUCAUUGGAUACACAGUCCUCACAGGUGAACCAAGCUACGAGGACCAGUUUAAAGGCUCCAGAUUCCAAAUAAAAGGAGAAGACACAGGGAGUGGAUAUCUGAUCAUUAGCGCGGUGAAUCUGUCAGACUCAGCUGUGUAUUUCUGCGCUGCCAGCACACAGUGAUGUGGUUUAAUGUCACUGCUUCACUAAAAACCUGCUCCGACAUGGAAACUAAUAACAGCUGUUACUCAGGGGUUUAGUUAUUUGAGAACUGAAAGUAUUAUGCUGUUAAUUGGGGCAUGAUUUAUUUAUAGUAUUACUAAUAAAUGGUACCUUAAUUAUAUGAUGAAGUAACUGAACAUGUAGCUUGCAUUUUUGCAGUAAAUAAAAUGCAAAUGUUUUUAUAUCAUAUAUAUAACAAUGUACCAAAAGCUAAUCAUGUUUUGUUGAAAGUGCACUAACAGACAAUUGUGUCACCAUAAGAACUGUAAUAUGGUGUAACUAAUAAUGUCAAAAUUGCAUUCACUAAAAAUGUAACAUCUUGUAAGAUAAGAAAAAAGCAAUAGCUGUUCAGCUGCAUUUCAUUGCUGUGUUUCUUCACUGCAUUGGAGUUGUCUGCUUAAACUUUUGAAAGAACCUUAUUUACUAAACUGGCUAAAAAUGAACAUAAAACUCUAAAUCUUAAAAAUCUAAAUGAGAAAUUAAAAAAGAGGUUGUAUGCUGGCCGCGACCCUGUACGCAGGAUAAGCUGUUGAGGAUGGAUGGAUGGAUGGUUGUAUGCUGGAGGUAAUGUACACAAACACUUAAAAUUCUCAAUUAACAGUUUAACAGUCAGCCACUUCUGAAGACUUUAUGGCUUAAAACCACUACACCAAGAAAUCCAUCAUCACAAAAUGUCAGUAUUGUUCAUUGGUGAAUAGAAAUAAAAGUGCAGCAAAGAAGAAGAAGCAUGCAGAUUUUUUUAAGGAAAAGAUCAGCUGCCAGCAGAGGAGGUAGGUGGGGAGAAGAGGUGUGAUGUAUAGAGAAGGGAAGUUCAUAAUCUCUCGUUCAAUGUGUAAAACGUUUGUCAGACUGGAGCACCAAUGUAUUUUUGUUAUUGAUUUAAUUUUACUUUCCAGGAUGCAUCCAGUUUUACACGCAUUUGGAUUUUUACUGCUUGUGCUUUCAAGCAAAGUGGAGAGUGUUACCUUUAAACAGUCCUCUUCUCAAGUUGUGAAUGAAGGGACUGAGAAACUCAGGAUUACCUGCAGUCAUGAUGACAGCAGUCUUCCAGUUAUGCUGUGGUACCAACACAAACAGAGCAGCCGGUCUAUGAGCCUCAUUGGGUACACAGUCGGUGUAGGUGACCCAAGCUACGAGGACCAGUUUAAAAGCUCCAGAUUCCAAAUAAAAGGAGAAGACACAGGGAGUGGAUAUCUGAUCAUUAGCGCGGUGAAUCUGUCAGACUCAGCUGUGUAUUUCUGCGCUGCCAGCACACAGUGAUGUGGUUUAAUGCCACUACUUCACUAAAAA